rnacentral:tRNA from 1 species
GAGCCUGUAGCUUAGCUUGGUGGAGCAUCGGUCUUAUAAGCCGAGGGUCCUGAGUUCAAAUCUCAGCAGGCUCA